rnacentral:rRNA from 1 species
GUUUAUAGCCAUGCCACCCUGAACAAGCCCGAUCCCAUCUGAUCUUGGAAGCUAAGCAGGGUCGGGCCUGGUUAGUACUUGGAUGGGAGACCACCUAGGAAGACCAGGUGCUGUAGGGA